rnacentral:rRNA from 1 species
ACGAACGCUGGCGGCGUGCUUAACACAUGCCAGUCGAACGGUGAAGCGCCUUCCUUUUUGGUGGGUGUGGACGAGUGGCGAACGGGUGAGUAACACGUGAGUAACCUGCCCCCUUCUUCUGGAUAACCGCAUGAAAGUGUGGCUAAUACGGGAUAUUCUGGGUCUGUCGCAUGAUGGGUCUGGGAAAGAUAUUGUUUCGGUGGGGGAUGGGCUCGCGGCCUAUCAGCUUGUUGGUGGGGUGAUGGCCUACCAAGGCGGUGACGGGUAGCCGGCCUGAGAGGGUGGACGGUCACACUGGGACUGAGACACGGCCCAGACUCCUACGGGAGGCAGCAGGGGGGAAUAUUGCACAAUGGGCGCAAGCCUGAUGCAGCGACGCCGCGUGAGGGAUGGAGGCCUUCGGGUUGUGAACCUCUUUCGCCAGUGAAGCAGGCCUGCCUCGUUUGUGGGUGGGUUGACGGUAGCUGGAUAAGAAGCGCCGGCUAACUACGUG